rnacentral:misc_RNA from 1 species
AAGACGGAAGAGUGUAUAUCCAACACGGGUAGAAAUGUAAAUCUCUCUGCUUGUAAAGAACGGGAAGCUUCGCUAUCAGCAUAGGCACCUCCAAGAAACCAUUGAAAAGAACCAUAAGAAUUGCAAAAUAGAGAGCACCAAGGUAAACAGCUCCAUCUUCAAGUGUAUCAUGAUGCAUUGUCGAACGGAAGAACACACUCAUCAUUAUCAAGAUAAUCAGAAAGAGCUGUGUGACUUUGAAAACGAGCACAGCAGAGUUUCGCUUUAAUAAUAGCAACUGCCAGUCAAAACUGAUCUUAAGAAGCUCAGACUUUUUCACACCAUAUGUACUAGAGGACAGAGCUGCUGGAUGACCGUCACGUUUGUCGAAUGGAAUAGCCAGUUCUUGUGCCAAUGCAUUACCAACAUGAAAGGAUUGAAACCCCUCAGCAAACUUUGUUGCUGAUACAUAGCUGUACUGACUAUUGAGAAACCAAUACUGCCCUUGAUCUUUUUCUGAUGUUAACUCUUGAAGAAAAUCAGCAACAUUUUUCCUGGAGGGGCAUUUGAAACCCAUAAAUUUGAAGAACUCAAGCGCAGUUUCGCGAGGACCUUGAUAAAUGAUUUGGCCCUCACUUAAAAGAAUUAUAUCAUCAAAGAGAGAGUAAGUUUCAGGGUCAGGUUGCAAUAAAGAAACCAGGGUAGUCCCAUCAAAUGCGCAAGUCGUGUACUUUAAGUACUUGAUGAUUUGAAAGGUAGUUGAACUAUCUAGCCCCGUUGAGAUUUCAUCCAUUAAGAGU